rnacentral:rRNA from 1 species
GGAUCAGGUAGGGAUACCCGCUGAACUUAAGCAUAUCAAUAAGCCGGAGGAA